rnacentral:rRNA from 1 species
GAGGAAAAGAAACCAACAGGGAUUGCCUUAGUAACGGCGAGUGAAGCGGCAAAAGCUCAAAUUUGAAAUCUGGCACCUUCGGUGUCCGAGUUGUAAUUUGAAGAAGGUAACUUUGGAGUUGGCUCUUGUCUAUGUUCCUUGGAACAGGACGUCACAGAGGGUGAGAAUCCCGUGCGAUGAGAUGCCCAAUUCUAUGUAAAGUGCUUUCGAAGAGUCGAGUUGUUUGGGAAUGCAGCUCUAAGUGGGUGGUAAAUUCCAUCUAAAGCUAAAUAUUGGCGAGAGACCGAUAGCGAACAAGUACAGUGAUGGAAAGAUGAAAAGAACUUUGAAAAGAGAGUGAAAAAGUACGUGAAAUUGUUGAAAGGGAAGGGCUUGAGAUCAGACUUGGUAUUUUGCGAUCCUUUCCUUCUUGGUUGGGUUCCUCGCAGCUUACUGGGCCAGCAUCGGUUUGGAUGGUAGGAUAAUGACUAAGGAAUGUGGCUCUACUUCGGUGGAGUGUUAUAGCCUUGGUUGAUACUGCCUGUCUAGACCGAGGACUGCGUCUUUUGACUAGGAUGUUGGCAUAAUGAUCUUAAGCCACCCGUC